CUCCCCCCUUGUCCCCACGCCCGCGCGAGCGCUACCUCUCUCACCCCCUGCGCCGCCGCCUUCUCCCCCCAAGCUUCGGCUCCACCAAGGUAGCCCGGCCGAUUCUCGCAGCCCAUUGAAAGCCGGCACGCCGACGGCCUUCGUCCUCUCGCGCCGGCCCGUCACCGCGAUCCCCGCCGGCACGGGCGCCUAUCCCCACCUUGCUCCUUCUCCCCGCUCGCGACGCCGUUGCCGCGCGCCUCCAUGAACUUCUCCGACGACUGGCGCUUCCUCUUCCCCGUCUCCUCCGUGUUCAACCCGCCGUCCCUCGCCCCGCCGGACGCCUCCCACGGGCCCCUCUUCUUCACCCCUCUCCUGCCGCCCGCCCCGCUCCUCUCCCUCCCCUUCCCCUUCCCUCCGCCCCUGCACGCCUCCACCACCGGUGACCUCCGCCACGCCCUCCGCUACUUCGUCGCCUCCACCUCCUUCCUCCCCUACUCCGAUCUCAAGUCCCUCUCGGGACCCCUCCUCGCCGCGCCGUCGCCGCCGUUCCCACCGCCUUCCAAUCUUCUCGCCGUCCUCCCCUCCCGCUCCGCGAGCUCUCUCGUCCUCUUUUUCCCGUACGGCGAGAAUGCGGAGAAGAUUGCUUUCGCUCUUGUGAACUCGCCCGUUGCGAGCUCUGCCCCCGUUUCGCUCUUCGUUCAGAGUGAUGGGUUCAAGCACCCUGGGCACCGCAUACAGCAGUUUGCUGCUAUUCCUGCCCAGUCGUCCUGGUCAUCGGAGCCGGAUGACAGCUGCGUCGAGGGUUUCCUGCUUGCUGCGACAUUGUACUCAGUGAGUUGGUUCAGGGUCGAGUCACGCCAUUCGGGUUCCCUGGUGCUUGUACCGGUGGCCAAGCAGGGGUUUGAUGCUGCUGUCGUGCAUGCGUGCUGGAGCAGGCAUUUUCCGUCACAAUGUGCGGUGCUGCUGGAGAGUGGGGAGUUGUGUUGGUUUGAUCUGAAUACACGACUUGGAGGAAAGACGAGCGUUGGUUUUGGCAGCAAUGGUGAAGACUGGGGGGACUGGCUGAGCUGUGCGUAUGGAGCACAACCGUGGAUGGUGAUCGUCGCAAGCUCAAAAGCCGUCCUUUUGGUUGAUUUGAGCUUUGUAGAUCAUGGUGACAAAUACGUCGUGGAAAACGAGCCACACAAGUUUCAGUACAAGGUUCUAGCAAAAAUUGGGUUGCCAGGGUUGUUUGAAACUGAGCCUUUUGACAGGACUGAGCAUUAUAUUGCAUUCUGUAAGGCUGGGUUCGAUGAUUCCCAUAUAUCAGUAGUGACAGAGCGUCACUUGAUUCUCCUUGAUGUGACAAAGCCCUUGGAACCUGUGUUGGCUUGGCAGCAUGGGCUUGAGAACCCAAAUCAUGUUGCCAUGUUUCGGCUAUCUGAAUUGAGACCUUCCAAGGAAUAUGAAUGGGCUUCAAAUUCAGGUUUUGCCAUUUUGGUUGGUUCGUUCUGGAAUGGGGAGUUCAGUUUGUUCUGUUACGGGCCUAAGGAGCAAGGUUGCCCAGAUAGUUCUCAUUUAUACGCUUGGGAUAUUCCUUCGAGGCUUUCUCUGACAGGUCAGCAUUGUGGCUGCAGCAAUGGAAUCAUGAAAGAGAUAUUCUCAACGCCUGUUUCAGUAUAUGAUGGGUAUGCUUCCCAACACCGCGCUAAGUCCAUUGUUGGCUACUAUGUGCUUCCAGAUGACCUCCCAAUAUCAGAGCCAACAUCUGCCAGCUUUGCCUUGAUCCGGCUAACAGCAUUGGGGAAGUUAGAAAUGCAACAGUAUCGUGCAUCUCGAGGUCUGCAUGAUGAAAUUGACACCCCAUGUGAUGAAUCAGAACAUGCAUCCAUCGAUAGUUGUUCAUCCAUUUUGAUUGACACUCAAGGUGAAAAUGUCUCAACCAAAUAUCGAUUCUUGAAGUUGCAUUUCCUAUAUGAACAUCUGAAGGGCAAUCUAUGCAGUGCGUUGGCGAAGCAUGGUAGUAGUGUUAACGGAGACGGAGAUCAAAUUAUUAUUAGUGAAGAUGUGUUGGCAUUUGCAGAGGAUAACUCUAGAUCCAGCGUGCUGCCAGUUUCAGAUUUCCUAUGUAAUGCUAGCAUCCCCAUGAAUGUUUUCGAAAUUGCAUGUCAGAGCAUAUUGAACAGUCUACCUUCAAAUAUUCUUCAUGUCUCCCUUUCUAAAUACAAGGACAUGCUAAAAUGUGGUACAAAAGAAGGCUUAUUAGAAUAUUUAAAAGUUCCUAGCUGUUCGCCACACAAUGAACUUCGGCCUUUCCUGUUAGCGAAACCAUCAAGCACAUGUGAGAAGGUGACUAGCAAAGCGGUAUCUCAAAAUGCUCUUGUUGGGCCAGUGCUCCCUGUGCAUGUCCUACUUGCAUUGGAAGAGAUGAACAGGGGCAUAGACAGCCCUUCGGAAAGAGAAACUGCAGAAACUGACUUGGUACGCCAUCGAUGUAGUGAGGUGCUUGGAGCCUUUGUUCCUGAAGUAUCCAUUGCUGAAUCCGACAACUUUGAUGGAUGGUUCUCCUCACAAAAGUUGAAUGACAAGAAGUCAUAUCUUGUUUACGAGCCUUGGAUUGAAAAUAAGUUUACUCUUGAUGAAACUGUUAUAAAGAAGGAAAACGAAGAGCAAAAGGCCGCUGAUUGUACAUCUUUUGAAACGUCUGCAGCAGCAUACAAGGAUGAGAAUUUCACGACAUUUGUCUGUGGAAAAGCUGGGACUCUUGAUUCUGGGCCUGAACAAACCACAUCUGAUUUGUUUGAUUUCACCCCAGUGAGGAUGGAUUUUGCUUCCACAGAUCUAGACAUUCAACCUGCUGAGGAAGAAAUAUACAGAUGCUUGAAGAAACAAUUUGUAAGAUGGCAAAAUAAUUUCAAGCCUUACCAAGAUUUUUGUAGCUCAUAUAAAAUACAAAAGCCAUCAUAAUGGCCUGCAGUGCUCCAUUCAGUUGUAGCAGCACCUAUUCUAUUGACAGGAUUUGCCACCUUGAGGUGCAUUUAACAGGAAUUUCACGCACUUGAUGUUAAGCAUUGGUGCGCCAUUUAUAGACCGUGUAGCAAGGCAGCAAGAGUCCAAGCCAUAUUGGGGCAUUACAUAGGCGACAAGGAGGGAGUGCUAUUGCAUCAAAAGUUAAACAUUUUGCUGAGUGACAACUACGAGCAUUAGCGCAGGCGUUCUUUUCUUUUCUUCUUCUUUGUUGAGAGAAAUCGUGUGGCAGUUGUAACCUAACCAGAUACGUGCACUCGUAAAAAAAAACUGUCUCACAUGAGUUUUUCUUCAUUUCAGUUGAGCCAAAACCUGCCAUUUGGGCAAAGUUUUUUGGCUGAAUUCUUAGUUUGCUAUGGGCUGCAACGAUAGUGGCGUGUUUGCCUGUUGAACUGUGCAGUGCAAGUGUACAUAUUUUUUCUUGAGCACGGACCAUUGUAUCUCAUGAUUCUGAAGCUCCAUGCUGAUGCAUGAAAGCAAAUCCAGUCACAUGAUGGCCUCGUGAUUAAUGGUAUUUAUGUUGUACUCUCGCAUUGGGAAUGCAUGUUUGAGACUGCACUGCAUCACGCAACAGUCAUUGUACAGAAUACAGUUAGAACACUCAAAUUUUGUUCUUCACUGCACUGUAAAACAACAGUUGAUAAG